rnacentral:tRNA from 1 species
AAGACCUGUAAAACUCUAAUUUACAUCUACUGAAUGCAACUCAAUCGCUUUAAUUAAACCAAGGCCUC